AUAAGAAGGUGAGCAGUGAAUGUUGGUGUUGAUGUAGGAUAAAACCAACUGAUACCCUUUUAUCAUUUCUAGUUUUUUAACAAAUUUUUGUGGGUGCACUUGGGUUCAAUGCGACUUAAAGAGGCAAUUUUCAUGGAUCUAGUUUUGCGAUUAAUUUUGCACCCACUAAGGUUGCGUUAUGAUUGGGUGGAUCCUGUAUUUGUUGUGAUUUUUGUUACAGGUUUUGAUGCAAGAUGAG
rnacentral:misc_RNA from 1 species